UUGGUUUAGGGUUUAGGAUUUUGUUAGAAUUUAGUUUAAGAUUUAGGAUUUGGUUAGGGUUUAAUUUAGAAUUAGGAUUUGGUUAGGAUUUGAUUUAGAAUUUAGGAUUUGAUUAAGAUUUGGUUAGGAUUUGAUUUAGGAUUUAGGAUUUGGUUAGAGUUUGAUUUAGGAUUAGGAUUUGAUUUAGGAUUAGGAUUUAGUUAAGAAUUGAUUUAGAGUUUAGGAUUUGACUAGGAUUUUAUUUAAGGUUUAGGAUUUUAUUAGGAUUUAUUUAGAGUUUAAGAUUUAGUUAGUUUUUGGCCUAAAGUUUGAAUGAAGUCUAAUAGGAUUUUAACUAAGAUUAAAUUAAGAUUGAAUCGAGAUAUAUUUGAAAUAUAUUUGUAAUCAUUCUAAUAUUUCUUUAAGAUUUCUUAUUAUUUCUCUGUAAUUCCUUUGAGAUUUCUUUGAAUUCAAUUAAAGCAUCCUUAAUAUUGUUAUGGUCUAAUUAAAGUUUAUUUAGUAUUCUAUUAGAGUUAGGAUUUUGUUGUUGCAAUUUCUAUUCUACCUUCUACAACCAAGUGCCUAGAGCAUUCUCAAGUAAGACUUCAUGUAUUAU
rnacentral:lncRNA from 1 species